GGGAUUUAGGGGGCAGCUGCUGAUGUCGGCGCUCGCCUUCGGCUGCUUCGCUUACUGUCGCCGAGUGGGAGGCGAGCCUCUUCUUCCUGGUUUCUCGUCUCCACCACAGCCACAACAGUCUGGCCCCCCGUUUUUCGUCCCCUCCGCCUCGUACUUCCGAGACCUUACAGGCAGAGCUGGAGCUCCCUCGCCUCUCGCACUGGCCGCGGAAGUGAGGUCACUAGGGGCAGGCUCCUCUUGGCCACCACCAUCGUGUGCUUGCGUUUCUAUCCUCUGCUUUUUUCGUGGUUCCCUCCUGGCCGUACACAAACGUGCUGUGCUCUGGUCUCUCCCAUGUGGGAAUAAAUCCAUCCGAUCACCUGCAAAGCGUUGCCUUCGCAUCCUGGCCCUCCUCCUUCCCGACUCCACGGAGACGGUGUCCUUCCAGGUCGCCAAACAUCUUUUCCAAAAAGUGCAUCCUUUUUCUGAUACAGAAGCAGAAAACAAAGCCUGACUCCUACCCUUCCGGGAUAAUCACUAUUAAUGUUUUAGUGUAUUGUCUGCCCUCUAAACAUUUGAUGUUUUUGAAUAGAUAAUACAUUAUAAUGUUUCAGAAAUGAAAACCGGAUUUUAAAGUAAACAGACUUUAGAAAAGUCUUCCUACUCCUCCACAGGUUACCGCUUACAUUAGUUUAUUAUGUUUCCAUUUAGUUUUGUUAAAAAAAAAAAAAAAGGACUCUUUCCCUUCUUAA
rnacentral:lncRNA from 1 species